UACGUAGGGGGGCAAGCGUUUGUCCGGAUUUAUUGGGCGUAAAGAGCGUGUAGGCGGCCUGGUAGGUCAGCUGUGAAAACUCGAGGCUCAACCUCGAGACGCCGGUUGAAACCAUCAGGCUAGAGUCCGGAAGAGGAGAGUGGAAUUCCCGGUGUAGCGGUGAAAUGCGCAGAUAUCGGGAAGAACACCCGUGGCUAAGGCGGCUCUCUAGUACGGUACUGACGCUGAGACGCGAAAGCGUGGGGAGCGAACAGG
rnacentral:rRNA from 1 species